GGGCCCGUAGCCUAGCACGGAUCAGGGCACCAGCCUGCGGAGCUGGGGGUCGCCGGUUCGAAUCCGGCCGGGCCCG
rnacentral:tRNA from 1 species